AGCAGAGAGAAGGCUCAUUCCAGCGUUUCCCUCUUUGGACAUGGGCUGAGACACACAGAUUUCACGACUUCCUCUUUGGAGAAGGCAUGAAAGGACCUGCAGCCACGGCCCCAUACGUUUCAAGAGAGGCAAGGCUUUCACCCUCCGUGUCUUUCACAGCCAUCCGCCCACAGCCUCUUAACUUCCUGACAUUAAACAAAAACGAAACCGAGGUUUCCCUAAUUGGGGAUCAUCAUCAAGAAUCUGUCAUGGGGUCUCUUAGAAAUUAAUUCAACUCGAUUGUUCUUCAGACCUCCGCUAAGGAGCCGGCGUGUUACUCUCGACACCAACUUGUCCCAUCUUCAUCCUAUAUUAGCUCCCUAACAGGGUUGCACGAUCAGCUCCUAGGCUGCAAAUUAGAAAAAUGGGCGAUGAUUCCAGCAGCUACGCCUCGGCACUCUCACGCCGGAUUACUGUGAUGGUCUCCUUGCAAGGCUUCCGGAUCUUUCUAUGUGGGUUGAAAUUGGUUCCAACUGUAACUUCCUGUUGAUCUCCCACCCUGAAUUCCCUCAUUGAUGCAACAUUUUGUUAAAAAAGAACUUCACCGAAUUACCCAUUUCAUGGAAAUUGCAAUAGGGUAUUGACUUGUAUAGUUAAUGAAGCUUUCAAAAAAGCACUCCUGUAGCCAUCAUCUAAAUGCCCCUCUGGCCACCAAAACUGUGCAUGUAAUUCACUGUAGUGAGGAUUCCUGAGUCUCCCUAAGGGAGAUCCAGUAGGAUCAGUUCUGGGUGGGAUCCGUCAGCAAACACAACCUAUUGCCCGCCUCCUUCUGGUUUCCAGUCCCGGGGGGUAAUUGAUGUCUUAGUGCACACAGAGCCGGACCAUGGAGCUAAGUAGAUAUGGGUUUCCAACUCAUCCCGGCCACUUCCCAGGGGCAUGUCCAGGGGCAAGUUAGUAACUCUCUUGAACCUCAGUUUCCUCAUCUGCAGAGUGUGGAUCAUCACAAACCUACCUUCUGGGGUUGCUAGGGGAUUAAAGGAGAUAAGGAGCAUAGCAGGGCUGGCCCUGUGCCUGCCUGGAGUGGGCACCAAGCUGACUUCGCUGGGGCUCUCCCGGCCCCACAUACCUGCAAUGGUUUUGCCUUUGGCUCGAUGUCUGAAGCCUUUGCAUUUCUGAAGGGAGUGAUGUAAAUCAAGCCAUGCUUAUGAUUAAAAACAUCCAACGUUCAGCUCAGUUGUUUGUCCUAUUUUGGCAACAUCCUAUUCUUUUGUUGUUGCUGUUUUUGAGAUAGGAUCUUGCUCUGGGGCCCAGACUGGAGUGCAGUGGUACAAUCAUGGCUCACUGCAGCCUCAACCUCCUGGGCUCAAGUGAUCCUCCUGCCUCAGCCUCCCGAGUAGCUGGGACUAUAGGUGUUCACCACCAUGCCUGGCUAGUUUUUUAAUUUUAAUAGAGAUGAGGUCUCAUUAUGUUACCCAGACUGAUUUCAAACACCCAGGCUCAAGUGAUCCUCCCACCUCAGCCUUCCAAAGUGCUGCCAUUACAGGUAUGAGCCACCACACCUGGCCAACCUUCUCCUCUUAUCUGUGGGAAACCUUGGGGCAUUACUGAAGAAAAAAUUGUGAUGUCCAAAUCCUGCACUGUACCCCAGUGCAAGGUGGUAGGUGUUGAAGUAGAAAAUGAUAAGACGUAAAUCGUCAGCAAAAGCCAAAGAGAGAGGUAAAAAAUGUAUGAGCACUAAAUGAAUUGAUUUUCAUAAAAUUAGCGUUAUACUGUAUAAUAAUGUUUCCCAAUAUAAAGUCUUUUUCAUAUUAAUAUUUAUAACAUUGUAAAGAUUAAAUCAUACCUUUGUGAUUAUUUUAAUUUUUUUUAACCUUAUU
rnacentral:lncRNA from 10 species